AGCGAACGCUGGCGGCAGGCCUAACACAUGCAAGUCGAACGAACCCUUCGGGGUUAGUGGCGGACGGGUGAGUAACACGUGGGAACGUGCCUUUAGGUUCGGAAUAACUCAGGAAAACUUGUGCCAAUACCGAAUGUGCCCUUCGGGGGAAAGAUUUAUCGCCUUUAGAGCGGCCCGCGUCUGAUUAGCUAGUUGGUGAGGUAAAGGCUCACCAAGGCUACGAUCAGUAGCUGGUCUGAGAGGAUGACCAGCCACAUUGGGACUGAGACACGGCCCAAACUCCUACGGGAGGCAGCAGUGGGGAAUCUUGCGCAAUGGGCGAAAGCCUGACGCAGCCAUGCCGCGUGGAUGAUGAAGGUCUUAGGAUUGUAAAAUCCUUUCACCGGUGAAGAUAAUGACUGUAGCCGGAGAAGAAGCCCCGGCUAACUUCGUGCCAGCCGCCGCCGUAAAAC
rnacentral:rRNA from 1 species